ensembl:lncRNA
CUUCGACCUUAGACCGAGAGCUAAGCCCGGCGCAGGCGCGCUCCCCGCCCCAAUUGCUCUGCUAGAGAGCGCGGCGGGCUGUGGGCGUCCUGAGCGGGAAAAACUCAGUGUGAUGAAGGAUGGUGCUGUAUCCUGUGUCCUUCUCCGAUCCUACUGCUGUCUCUCUGCACUAGGUGAGUGCCUCGCUACCUACAGUAUCCAGAGCACUGAUUUGCCACCUUAACACUGCUCACAGCACCUAUGAUGAUUCCUAUAGGUUUGGAAGGCUGCCCAUAUUCCUUGGCAUAAAGCUGCCUUCCUCUGUCUUCAAAGCCACCAACAUCAAGCCAAGUCUUUCUCAUGCUGCCAUUUCUCAAUUUCUCUUCCAAUUUUGAGGACCUUUGUGAUUAUAUUGGGAUCACCCGGAUAAUCCAGAACAACUGCUCUUAAAUUUAGUUG